rnacentral:rRNA from 1 species
UGGCGGAUGGGUGAGUAACACGUAAGAAUCUACCUUUAGAUAGAGGAUAACAGCUAGAGAUAGUUGCUAAUACUCUAUAUGUCGUUUGGUGAAAGAAGUAAUUCGUCUAAAGAGGAGCUUGCGUCUGAUUAGCUAGUUGGUGGGGUAAAGGCCUACCAAGGCGACGAUCAGUAGUUGGUCUGAGAGGACGACCAGCCACAUUGGAACUGAGACACGGUCCAGACUCC